UGCCAAACUGUGUUGCUGUCUGUUUCCUUAAAUAGACCAGCUCUGUGCGGUGACAGCUGAGUUGGUGUGAAAAGCAGCAGGUGACAAAGAGGCCCCAGAAAGAUGGGAUCUUAUCAAAGCCAACCUGAACAGGAACCUGCACCAGAACCACAAAGUCAUGAUUCUGAAGCACAACACAAAGUUCAUGUAAAUGGUGUGUGGGGGCUUUG